GGACGAACGCUGGCGGCGUGCCUAAUACAUGCAAGUAGAACGCUGAAGAGAGGAGCUUGCUCUUCUUGGAUGAGUUGCGAACGGGUGAGUAACGCGUAGGUAACCUGCCUUGUAGCGGGGGAUAACUAUUGGAAACGAUAGCUAAUACCGCAUAACAAUGGAUGACACAUGUCAUUUAUUUGAAAGGGGCAAUUGCUCCACUACAAGAUGGACCUGCGUUGUAUUAGCUAGUAGGUGAGGUAACGGCUCACCUAGGCGACGAUACAUAGCCGACCUGAGAGGGUGAUCGGCCACACUGGGACUGAGACACGGCCCAGACUCCUACGGGAGGCAGCAGUAGGGAAUCUUCGGCAAUGGGGGCAACCCUGACCGAGCAACGCCGCGUGAGUGAAGAAGGUUUUCGGAUCGUAAAGCUCUGUUGUAAGUCAAGAACGAGUGUGAGAGUGGAAAGUUCACACUGUGACGGUAGCUUACCAGAAAGGGACGGCUAACUACGUGCCAGCAGCCGCGGUAAUACGUAGGUCCCGAGCGUUGUCCGGAUUUAUUGGGCGUAAAGCGAGCGCAGGCGGUUUGAUAAGUCUGAAGUUAAAGGCUGUGGCUCAACCAUAGUUCGCUUUGGAAACUGUCAAACUUGAGUGCAGAAGGGGAGAGUGGAAUUCCAUGUGUAGCGGUGAAAUGCGUAGAUAUAUGGAGGAACACCGGUGGCGAAAGCGGCUCUCUGGUCUGUAACUGACGCUGAGGCUCGAAAGCGUGGGGAGCGAACAGGAUUAGAUACCCUGGUAGUCCACGCCGUAAACGAUGAGUGCUAGGUGUUGGAUCCUUUCCGGGAUUCAGUGCCGCAGCUAACGCAUUAAGCACUCCGCCUGGGGAGUACGACCGCAAGGUUGAAACUCAAAGGAAUUGACGGGGGCCCGCACAAGCGGUGGAGCAUGUGGUUUAAUUCGAAGCAACGCGAAGAACCUUACCAGGUCUUGACAUCCCGAUGCUAUUUCUAGAGAUAGAAAGUUACUUCGGUACAUCGGUGACAGGUGGUGCAUGGUUGUCGUCAGCUCGUGUCGUGAGAUGUUGGGUUAAGUCCCGCAACGAGCGCAACCCCUAUUGUUAGUUGCCAUCAUUCAGUUGGGCACUCUAGCGAGACUGCCGGUAAUAAACCGGAGGAAGGUGGGGAUGACGUCAAAUCAUCAUGCCCCUUAUGACCUGGGCUACACACGUGCUACAAUGGUUGGUACAACGAGUUGCGAGUCGGUGACGGCAAGCUAAUCUCUUAAAGCCAAUCUCAGUUCGGAUUGUAGGCUGCAACUCGCCUACAUGAAGUCGGAAUCGCUAGUAAUCGCGGAUCAGCACGCCGCGGUGAAUACGUUCCCGGGCCUUGUACACACCGCCCGUCACACCACGAGAGUUUGUAACACCCGAAGUCGGUGAGGUAACCUUUUGGAGCCAGCCGCCUAAGGUGG
rnacentral:rRNA from 1 species